GCCGGGGGUCGUUCCAGAGCGACUCUGGGUUGUCCCAAGGAGAGUGAUGAAAUUCUGGAAAACUGAAAGUUCUGGGUGAAAACUAUUCUGAAUAUAAGAAGUAAUUUUGUGAGGCUGUGUGGUCUGUGUGGCAUCCCAUGAGUCUUGGUGUUUAAAGAAAGGAGAUUCCAAAGUGAGAAAGCCCAAGAGAAAAGUUUCCUGAGGACCUUGAGGAAGAUGUGAAAGCAGCAGCAAAAAGAAAGGAGUUUUAACACCAGAGAUGCUGUCAGGGGAGAGAACAUGUUAAACAACUUAUUGAAAACUACAGAGUAGAUUUCAGGCAAUAGUCUUUGAGGAAGAGGGGAGUUCCCUCUGCUCCACUUCAGAGAAGAGCAGAAAUUCAUGCUGAAAUUUAAGCCUCUGAAGAAUCCCAUUUAAAUCUGUGAAGGUAUUCCCACACUUAAAAUUAAACAUGAGCUGAAGGGUUUUGCUCCACAGGCAAGAAAGGGGCUUAGUGAAAUGCCUGGUCUACAAAGGUUGUGUCAUUGUUGAGGAGAAAUGAGCAAAAAGCUGUAGUUGUGGUAAUUAAGGGUGGGAAAACUGCAGCCUAAAGGAAUAAAGU